CUGGCUCAGAACGAACGCUGGCGGCAGGCCUAACACAUGCAAGUCGAGCGCGCCCUUCGGGGUGAGCGGCGGACGGGUUAGUAACGCGUGGGAACGUACCCUUUGGUAGGGAAUAGCCACUGGAAACGGUGAGUAAUACCCUAUGAGCCCUUCGGGGGAAAGAUUUAUCGCCAAAGGAUCGGCCCGCGUUAGAUUAGGUGGUUGGUGGGGUAAUGGCCUACCAAGCCUACGAUCUAUAGCUGGUUUUAGAGGAUGAUCAGCAACACUGGGACUGAGACACGGCCCAGACUCCUACGGGAGGCAGCAGUGGGGAAUCUUGGACAAUGGGGGCAACCCUGAAUCCAGCCAUGCCGCGUGAGUGAAGAAGGCCUUAGGGUCGUAAAGCUCUUUCGCCUGUGAAGAUAAUGACGGUAGCAGGUAAAGAAACCCCGGCUAACUCCGUGCCAGCAGCCGC
rnacentral:rRNA from 1 species